GUCUCUUCAGAGACAUCUGAUAAAAUUGGAACUUGGAACGAUACAGAGAAGAUCAUGGCCCCUGCGCAAGGAUGAUACACACAAAUUGAGAAAUGGUCCAAGUUUUU
rnacentral:snRNA from 2 species